GUCGUCAUACAGUACGUUAGAACACUCUCCAUCACCCUUCUGUAGAAGGUUGUGAGAAUCCUGGUGGGAAAUGAAGCACACGAAGAAAUGAACAGACUCACAAAUAUCACAAAUGUGGGUUAUGUUCGGCCACAGCUUCCAUAAACGUACGCCGGGUAUCAUUCUCCACAAAGUGAUAUUUCGUAGACGUUCUUGUCGUCUGUCUAGCCACCCUCCUCUGUUCUUUCUCAUUCUCAGACUGAUCCCUCCCUCCUUCUCUGUUAUGGCUUCCACGUUGCCGGGCUUCUUCUGUUUUAACGAGCAGAGCGUGGGAUUAAUGUUCACCAGAGGAGGAUGAUGGCCGUCCAGGGAGCUACCUGUCAGGACCCUGUGCCGAGGCGGCCGAGGGAGCUCGACGCAACACAACACAACUCAACACAACACAAGUGCGGUACGGAGGAUGAGGCCAUGCAGAGAAAAGAGGAACAUCUGUAACAUCUGUAAAUCGCGCCCACUGCUUCCCAAGAUAAAGAUGACCCCUGGGAGGUUAACCCUCAGCUCUGCUCAGCGUUUGAUCCCCACACAGCUCUGCGCCAGUAAAUAUCUCUUUCAUCGCGUGACCUCAAAGCUGCAGAUCAAAGAUAUCCGCAGGACUGGAAGCCAGAGAAUUAAGUUAAUGGACAUAAAGCCACUGGCAGUUAACAGGAAGUUUGUUGAACAUCGUCCAAAAUGAGCUCUCAUGUGACCAGAGGGAGAUUCAUGAAAGGAGCUCUGGUUACUGUACUCACAUGUGGAUGAAACUUGCUGAUAACAGCUGCUCCUUUACUACUGGACUCUUAACUGUGUGAAGGAGCAGAGUCGACUGAGGAGGCCAGGAGGGUUCUAUGCAAGCAAGCUGAACAAAGUUCAGUAUCUGGUGCAACAUCAAACCAACAAAACCAAACGGGACAAUUGAGCAUCUGGUUAAAAACAAAUCGAGUUUCUUUCUUUAAAUGCGUAACACAUGGAGUCGUUGCUUCUGAUCUGAACCCUCAUUCUUCACGCUGCAACAAAGGUUCAUCCUCCAGAAAACAAACAAAACCAUGACUCACACAAUGUAAUGGUUUUCAAAAGGAUUACAUUGUUUCCAUCGGGAGAAUUGGUUGGCCAAGUGUCAUUGUUCAUAUUGCAGCCAAACAUAAACCUAAUUGAACAAUUGAAUUUUUGUUUUGUGGUUGUUCCAAAGAUUUCGUGCCAACCCAUAGAAUUGAGCCGCAUGCCUGUGAAGCUCUCACUCUGUACCUUUGAAUUCAAUGGAUCAUUCAGUGAGACACCGCCGCGUUCAAGUGUUUACAUGGCAGCGGCUGCAGCUGUUCGAGUUUUGUUCCACUGCCGUUAA